CUACGGAUUAAUUUGUACAGAAAAGUAGAAAAGCGCUUCUCUCCCUCGCGCAACGUCGAUCUCCGAUGGGGGACGGCGCCGCGCGAUACCGACCCGCCGGAGGAGGAGGCGGCGGCGCCUCCGCCGCCUCCGCCGCCGCCGCCGACGACGACAUGGCUCGCACCUUCCAGUACCUAAUGGCAACGCAGUUUCUAUCGCGAGGGAUCCCCUUCUUGUUUAAUUCCUGGAUCGUGAGGCACCUCACUGAAGCCGACUACGCGCUAUAUGCAGUACAAUUUCAUCUCUUUGUUACCUGCAUAUUAUUUUUAAGUCGGGAGGGUUUUCGUCGAGCAUGCAUGCGCACUGAUGUCCGAUGUGAUGGGCCGAUAGGUGAAAAUGCUGCACAAUUGUUGAAGAUAUCUUGGAUGACUGUUCCUAUUGGUGUAUUUUUUACUUUUGCUGGCUGCUUCUUUGUAUUCUGGUUUCAGAAACUAAGCUUUUCCGACCCAUAUGCUCAAGCUAUAUUAAUUCAUGGAUUUGCUUGUGUUUUGGAGCUAAUGGCGGAGCCUUUAUAUAUUCUUUCUCAGAAUUUGCUUCUCCUAAAAUUACGGUUGGUAACUGAAACUGCUGCAACUAUUUUGCGUUGCCUGACAACCUACAUCUUCAUUGUUAGACACAUUGAAAUGGAAAAGGAGAUUAUAUUUGCUUUAUCCCAGGUUGCAUAUGGCGCCUGCUUAUUCCUGGGGUAUUGGGCUUAUUUUUUACUGUUUCGUGCCAUCACGUUCUCAAAUAUGUUCCCCUUCAGGUUGCACAACUUGAUGGACUAUGAUAAGCAACUUUGGCACAUGUGCAUGUUAUUUACGGGCCAAUCGGUUCGAAAGCUGAUCCUCCAAGAAGGGGAAAAGAUGGUCCUUGUGUGGUUGGACACUCCCUGUAACCAGGCAGUGUAUGGCCUUGUUGACAAAUUAGGCAGCCUAGUCGUACGAUUAAUAUUUCUUCCUUUUGAAGAAAGUUCUUAUGCCACUUUUGCAAAAUUAGCAUCAGGACAAUCACCUCAGAAGAUUAUGAGAUUGAGGAGUUCCCUAGUAGAUGCUUUGAAGCUCAUUCUGUUGAUAGGGCUUGUGGUAAUAUCAUUUGGUCCAAGUUACUCAUAUACGCUAAUAAGACUGCUUUAUGGGAGUAAAUGGAGUGACGGAGAAGCUUCGGUUGCGCUGCGCUAUUAUUGCUUUUACGUCAUCAGUUUAGCCAUGAAUGGAACAUCUGAAGCUUUUCUUCAUGCUGUAGCAAAUGAGGCUCAACUCAAGCGUUCAAAUGAUUCAUUGCUUAUAUUCUCUGGGAUAUAUAUUGCACUAAAUGUCCUCCUAAUUAAAUCUGCUGGAGCUGUUGGGUUAAUUGCUGCUAAUUCAAUUAGUAUCCUUUUCUCCAGAAAUCACUUUUUGCGAACCAAAGAAUUUGUUGAUAAACUCUGGGGCUCUACAUCGUUUUCUUUUUACGAUUGCUUACCAUCUGGGUGGGUGGUUUUGCUCAUUUCUGGUGCUACAGCCCUCAUGUCGGAGAGAGUAUUUCUAAAUAAGGAAAGUUUUUGGCAAACAGUUCCUAUCCACUUGACUGUUGGCAUCGUAUGCUUCUGCUUCUCUGCUGCUGUGAUAUAUCGUCGUGAAAAGCUCUUCAUCCACAAAAUUAUAAAAAUGCGCAAGCAUAUUGACUGAGAGAAGACAGGUUAAUUGCUCUUUAUGUAAAGUUACAGAAAGUCCCUCUAACAAAUGUUCCCAAAAGUAUGCUAAACACACCUUUGCUGCUUACUGUGAAAAUUAAAGGGAAUUCAAUGAUGCAAUUCAAGCCCUUUUGUCAAAGAUGAUUAAAUUCCAAAUAUAACUUAAAGAAGUUUUGCUGGUAUACAGUAAGAGGGAUGGAACCAAAAGUGAGAGCUUAUUAACUCGCUACAAGCCAAGAUGCAGCAGCCAAGCGGAGGCCAUUUGGAUUGACGUAAGUGUAAUUCAACUGUAAGUCAAAUUUAGGAAAUCUGGAAGCGUUAGCUAUAUAGCAAUUGGAUUGGCCUCAAGAAAUAUAAUUUUUAUUGUGGAGUAUCUUAUAUUGUCUAGAUCCAACUGACCGAUGAAUACGUGUUUUCCGCAGAAGACAGCCUUGGAGUUAUGGGCCUUCGCUAGCAAAAUGCCCUACUAUGGAGUAGAGCUCUUUGCGAGACGGCAGGUAUCCUUGGUGUUUUUGUGUUUGACCGCUAUAUAAGCAUUUCUACUCUGACUUAAACUUCACUUGCGAGUGAAUUGCGCUCCCAUGGCAAACUUAAAGUUUGUAACUCCCUACCUCCCACGGCGAACAAAAAAGUUUAUAGCUCCCUUUACUGGGAAGCAGGGAUUAGCUUCUAGAACCAAAAAUAAGAGCUAUACUAUAAGCAGAAGCUACUUCUUGUUGCAGCUAGAAGCUGGGCAUUGUAAUUUUGGUGUUUAUCAUUGCAGUGAGCUUUUUGUGAAUAUGAACAGGGCUUCAGUUUAUAUUCUAAAACUCAGCUUCGAGCGCCUCAA